rnacentral:rRNA from 1 species
AGACGUCUACAUUAGAACCCGCGUAGUCCCAGCCGUAAACUGUGCGCGUUAGGUGUAUCGGUGACCACGAGUCACCGAGGUGCCGAAGGGAAACCGUGAAACGUGCCGCCUGGGAAGUACGGUCGCAAGGCUGAAACUUAAAGGAAUUGGCGGGGAGCACCACAACGGGUGGAGCCUGCGGUUUAAUUGGACUCAACGCCGGGAAGCUCACCGGAUAAGACAGCGGAAUGAUUGCCGGGCUGAAGACUCUGCAUGACUAGCUG